UACAAGAGAAGAGAGUAUUGGCACAAAAUAGACAGAACCUACGACGAAGCCAUCAAGCGUGCAGAAGGCGUAAAUGCUAAACUUGACAAAUUUCAAAAGGCAAACGAGGAAAGAAUAAGGGUGAUUCUCAAUGGUGAAUCCACUUCUUGAGCAACCGGCAAUUUCUAUCUUCUUCCUCACUUGUUCUUCCCCCAAUGUUGCUUUUACAUAAAUAAAUUAUGUUUAUUUAGACUUAUGUAUUUAGUUUCAUGUCGGAACAUAUGGACCUAUGGUGUGUGUUUGUUCGUUCCUCUUUAUAUAUAUGAUUCGUGUGCCUAUCUUGUUGGA